ACCUCUUCCUGCCUCUCACUAGCUUCAUCCCUCUCAGCUUGAGCUGCAGCCUGGGAGGGAAGGAGCUAUUGGGGGUCAGGAACAGCA
rnacentral:pre_miRNA from 1 species